rnacentral:rRNA from 1 species
GAUGAACGCUGGCGGCGUGCCUAAUACAUGCCAGUCGAGCGAACAGACGAGGAGCUUGCUCCUCUGACGUUAGCGGCGGACGGGUGAGUAACACGUGGAUAACCUACCUAUAAGACUGGGAUAACUUCGGGAAACCGGAGCUAAUACCGGAUAAUAUAUUGAACCGCAUGGUUCAAUAGUGAAAGACGGUUUUGCUGUCACUUAUAGAUGGAUCCGCGCCGCAUUAGCUAGUUGGUAAGGUAACGGCUUACCAAGGCAACGAUGCGUAGCCGACCUGAGAGGGUGAUCGGCCACACUGGAACUGAGACACGGUCCAGACUCCUACGGGAGGCAGCAGUAGGGAAUCUUCCGCAAUGGGCGAAAGCCUGACGGAGCAACGCCGCGUGAGUGAAGAAGGUCUUCGGAUCGUAAAACUCUGUUAUUAGGGAAGAACAAAUGUGUAAGUAACUAUGCACGUCUUGACGGUACCUAAUCAGAAAGCCACGGCUAACUACGU